GCGGGUGAACAGUAAUUUUAGAUUCUGGAAAUUGCAUUUCCGUCUGGACAGACUUUACGAAAAUGGGCAUAACUUCUUCGUCCGAACUCCGAAUGAGGCGAAACAAAUUGCGUUGGAAAGCUAACUCACAGAGCUUUAAUUUUGAUAGUUUGAGCUCCUUCCAGUUCCUUGUGUGCUGAGAGAUAUGCCCCUUUAAAGUUGACCCUCAAAA
rnacentral:lncRNA from 1 species